AACGAACGCUAUCGGUAUGCUUAACACAUGCAAGUCGGACGGACUAAUUAGGGCUUGCUCCAAUUAGUUAGUGGCAGACGGGUGAGUAACACGUGGGAAUCUGCCCAUCAGUACGGAAUAACUUUUAGAAAUAAAAGCUAAUACCGUAUAUUCUCUACAGAGGAAAGAUUUAUCGCUGAUGGAUGAGCCCGCGUCAGAUUAGGUAGUUGGUGAGGUAACGGCUCACCAAGCCGACGAUCUGGAGCUGGUCUGAGAGGAUGAUCAGCCACACUGGGACUGAGACCCUGCCCAAUCUCCGGCGGGGGGCGGAAGUGGGAAAUAUUGACAAGGGGGGAGAGCCGUAGGCCACCAGAACGUAAGGGUUGGUAAAGGCCCAAGGGUGAGAAAGCCUUUUGAAAAAGGAAAAUAUGGCGGUAUCUUACAAAAAAGGCCCGGCCUACCCCCUG
rnacentral:rRNA from 1 species